rnacentral:rRNA from 1 species
UAUGUAGGGGGCUAGCGUUGUCCGGAAUCAUUGGGCGUAAAGCGCGUGUAGGCGGUCCGGUAAGUCCGCUGUGAAAGUCGGGGGCUCAACCCUCGGAUGCCGGUGGAUACUGUCGGGCUUGAGUACGGAAGAGGCGAGUGGAAUUCCUGGUGUAGCGGUGAAAUGCGCAGAUAUCAGGAGGAACACCAAUUGCGAAGGCAGCUCGCUGGGACGUUACUGACGCUGAGACGCGAAAGCGUGGGGAGCAAACAGG